AGAGAAUAAGACUGACUGUCACCCAUGGUUUGGGUCAUCGGAAGGAUAACAUUUAUUGAAAGAGCUCUGUGAAUUUUACCCAUGGAAAUAGUGAGGGGGGAAAGUUUAAAAGAGUUUAAUUAAUUUGCAUCCCUAAAGAACUGUGGCAAAAAAUAACUAGAAGCACAGGAAUUGCCUCCUUUGCACAGCUCAUUGCAUCAGAAUUUUCUCCUAAUCUUUGCCUCUCCACUACAGUUUU